CGGCUUGUUGUCGUUGACGUCGCUGAUGAAAACUCUCACAUACGCUGUGUCUGCAAGAAUGACAGAAUGGCAGAAGAUUAAACGACACGGCACGCACGGCUUCCACACACACAUACUCGAACCACUACUGUGUUUAUGCCGGUGAAAAACUCCACAACGUGCAGGGAGGGCGAGACAAACAGGGGAGGAGAGACCGGUCGAGCGGACUCUUGGCCAUCUUCUGACUGAACCUCCAGUAAGUAGGAGCUACGGGCCUCACGGUCAAAGACAGCUUCUGUGUAGAUUAUCCCAAGUUCUGAGUCGAUACGAAACAGAUUGUGGUCACCACUGCUG